ensembl:lncRNA
AAUAGGCAUGUGCCAUUUAGAAGGUCGCACAGCGAACCUCGAAACAUGCCAGAACCUUAACGAGAAACACUGAAAUGCAGAAGAAAUCAGAAGGAACCGCGCUCCCAACACGCACGGCCCCGCCACGCAGCAGCAUCCUAUGGGGCAGGGAGCAGCCAAUGCUCGUGGGGCUGCUCACAGGGAAGUGAACGCUGCCUUUCAUAAAAGCUGACUCCUCUACCCCAAAUAAAAAACAUUCCCUGCCUUGAAGAACAACAUUUUUUUAAUUAUUAUUUCAAAGUACCCUGUUCAGCAGCAGAGCAUACAAAUACUCAUAGCUACGCAAAUAGCAACUCUUUAUUUGCUUUGUUUGCUCAGCUAAUAUUGACUUUCCAGCCUAACACUGCUGCUAUUGAGUUUGGCUAUUCACAGUACUGUUUGACUAGCAUUAGAACAGCGCGGCGAUAACAGCAUGUGCAACCGAAAAAGCAAUCCAUCGCCCCUCCGUGGGACAGUGCCAUUAUGACAGAGGGGGAAAAAAAACCGUCUGCUUAUUCAGUCAAGUACAACUGUUGAAUGCUACGCUGGCAAUGACACUCCUGGCUAGUGCAAACAACCCAAGGUUACAGCGUUAGUGUGUACUCGCGCAAAGCAAACACUACAGAGCGGUUCCGUUGCUGCCCGUCGCCUUGGGCAGGACCCAGGGGUUCGUUCCCUGCCUGGGGUCAGUGUGUGCUGCCCUGUGCCAAGGCUCCUCCCAGCCGUGUGCGUGCUGUGGAGUGGAUGGGUACACACGGAUGGAUGGAUGGGACCCCUCUGUGGGGGGAAGCAGGGCGAGAGCGCUGCGGAAGGGACGAGGUGGUUGUAGAGAGAUUGCAGAGCCAGACUGAUUGCCUCGCUCGCCUCCCACGUGCGUCCACCAGUUUAUACAAAUAGCUGUGUGUGCACAGCAGGCAGAGGCAGAGAGCAGCGCCUGUCUGGCACACCGAGCAGCCGGCUUCUCCCGGGGCAGCCCUGCGUGGGACCCCCAGCCCCACAUUAUCACUGCGAGCCCUGGGUUUGGUACUUCAAGCUGACAUUGGGAAGUUCCUCCUCCUCUGCUUCAGGAGGCAGGGAAACAGAUAGAGAGGAGAGGCAGAGCUGGCGGUUGGAUGUGGUGAUCUUAGCGGUCUUUUCCAGCCCUAACGAUUCUAUGAGUCUAUGAUGCCAUGAGGGAGGUCACCACUGCAUCCAAGCUCCAGGACGUGACAUCCACGUGGAGGCAUUCCCUCCAAGAGCUCCAAAAAUGAGGCAGAAGCCGCAUUUCUGCACGCACUGAUUACUGAGGAGCAACAAACAGCUGCAUGCAAAAGUGGAAAGCAGGUGCUGGGCACGGCCACCUCCCAACUUCCUCGUGCUGAGUUUUCCCAUGAGCAGUGAAUGCCAAGCAGCCUCUAACCCAGAGCAUCCAGGUUAAUUACUCAUUAAUAGCACUGAAACACCCUUCACAUUCUCCAGGAAAUGUAUUCCAGCCAGCACGAAAGGCAACGCAAUGCUCUGAUUCAUCCCAGCGUCCAGGAGAACAUCGCAGCAAUAAACUGAUAAGGAAGAACAGAUGCACAUGGAAAGCAUCCCCCGGCUUCCAGUUCCAGCCUCCCACCUCAGCCGUGCAGCCGCUCCAGAACAACAUCCAUCCCCAUCGUUCCUCUUGCUUUCAAUCCACAAUCCAGAUUUGCCCGGAGACCUAUAAGAGCUCUUAAGCUAUCUUGUCUGCUCGUGUGCAGAGGAGGGGGAGAAGAAAGCCCCACGGUGGAGAAAACAAGGCUGCGUGAAUUGGAGGGGUUAGGAAAACACUCGUACCUACGCAGGGAAGGCACCAAGUGAUGAAUCAAUUAAAUACCUGAUGGAUUAACCUGAAGUCGGGGUGUUCUCACUGCACUUUCCAUGGCAAGCAGCUUCAAAGGACCCAAUGCGUGGUGCAG